GACAGAGGGUGCAAACGUUGUUCGGAAUUACUGGGCGUAAAGCGCGCGUAGGCGGAUCUGCAAGUCGGGGGUGAAAUCCCGAGGCUCAACCUCGGAACUGCCUUCGAUACUGCGGGUCUCGAGUCCGGGAGAGGUGAGUGGAAUUCCUAGUGUAGAGGUGAAAUUCGUAGAUAUUAGGAAGAACACCAGUGGCGAAGGCGGCUCACUGGCCCGGUACUGACGCUGAGGUGCGAAAGCGUGGGGAGCAAACAGG
rnacentral:rRNA from 1 species